UAUUUUUCCACAGUUAGGUAAACAGUUCAUUAAUCAAGUUAGUUUGGUUUCUUCCAGGGUCAAUAUUUGUUUGCAGAUUUUUCACACAAAUAUUUAUACACCCUUUAUAGCAAAGGAAAACUGUUACUGUUACAUUAUUUUGUCAAAGAGAAGAAAAAUAGAUUUUUUUUUCACUACAGGAAAUAUUAUUAGUUAAUUCUGCCAAUCUUCUAACAAAGAAGAGAAAGAGAUUGAUUGGUUCAAGUGUGAAUUUUAACAUCUGGAUUAAUCUUCAUUUCUAGGAUGAUAUAAACAGUUAAUGGAUUAAGAUUUUCUUGAACAGAAGAAAAUAAAUCUAGUUACAUGAUCGAAAAAUCGUUUGAAGAUGGCUACACAAGAAGAUAGUAUUUCAUCUUAAUUGUGUACAAUUAUUCCAUAAGAACACCAAUGGUAGUUUUAUAGCCAGCUCUAACAUCAACAGGAUACCAGUACAGGCAUUCCAACAUGGAUCUGAAGUUAUCUGAUCUAUACUUGUUUUCUUUGAUGGUAAUAAUUAGUUGGACAGGAAUUUUAUCACAAAAGCAUGAAAAGCAUGAAAAUGAAGAUUCAUCACCAAGUUGGAAACCAAAAUCCAGACCAGCUCAGCGUGAUUCCAUUGUAACCAAGAAUGAAGGAAAUGAUGUUAAAUUAACUUGUGGUGUGAAUGGCAACCCUAAACCAUCCAUUAUAUGGUAUAAAGAUGGAAGAAUCUUUGAUGAUAAGAAAAGAUCAAAGACAAAGCUGCACCGGUACUCGCUGAUAAUGAAAGAUGCCCAGGUUGAUGAUAAGGGAGAUUACCAAUGUAUAGUGACCAAUGUCCAUGGCAGUCUGAAUUUUACAUUCUAUGUUACAGUAAUAAAAUUGACAUGGCCUUUAGAAGUAGAAGAACCUCAGAAUCAGACUGUUAAUGAAGGUGAAGAUGCUAUAUUUACUUGCCGACCUUUGAAUGAUCCUGAGGCCACAAUUAAAUGGGUGAAAAGGAAUCAAACAGGAUUACAGACAAGUAUUGGUAAAACAUCAGAUAUUUUAGAAAAUAAAGAGAUGUUAGUUCUACGCAGUGUUACAAUGAAAGAUGCUGGACAUUAUGUUUGUUUUGUUGGUAAUUAUUUUGGUUUGAAACAAGUAGAUGUAUGGUUGACAGUCAUACCUACACCCACAACUACUACCACUACUUCUACUACAACGACUACUCCAACGACAACCACUACUACACCGACUACCACUACAACAACUCCUACCACAACCACUCCGUCAACUACAACACCAACUACAACAACUCCAACCACAACCACUACAACAACAACAACAAUGAGAAUACCCUUCUGGCCAGAACCAACACCAGACUGGGAUGAUGACUUUGAUGAUACACAGCGCAAAAAAGAUAAGAAGAAAAAGAAAAAGAAAGAUAAAAAGAAGAAAAAUAAAAAAGAUAGAAAGAAGAAGAAAAAGAAUAAGAAGAAAAAUAGAGAAGAUACAUCAUAUAUGCAACCUGAAAUUUAUGAUAAAAACUAUGAGGACACGAAAACACAAAACCCAGACAAUUGGUUUGGUAGGACAGGCCGUAUAGAUCCUGAUGAUCCAUAUGAUCAAGGAAUUGCCCCUGAACCCUUUAAUCCAACGUCGGAAAAUGAUCAGAUUAUACCAUAUGGAGAAAACAAUAAAGAUGAAACAAUCGAUUACAGUGAUGUGGAUUUUACUGGCAAAACACAGGGUGAAAAUACAAGUCAGAAAAAAUCUGCUGAAAAGGAUAUAGAUGUUUGGACUAUAUAUAUUAUUGUAGGCUCAGUGGCAGGAGGGGUGCUGUUAAUUGGAGUAGUGGCAAUUGUUGUGGCAUUAUGUUGUAACAGAUAUGAGGAUGAUGGUUAUAAACACACAAAUGUUUGACUAUAGGAGAGAUUUCCAUGGUAACAAACAUUUAAAGAGGAAUACUUGAGGAAAUUUUGCCAUGGAAAUUGAAGACCUAAGGUUUAAUAAACCUAAUCAUGUAGACAUUGAAAUACAUUAUAGCAUUGUUGUUGUUGAUAGUUAAAAGACACAAAUAUCAAGAUGUACUUUAGAUAUUAAAAAAAGUGCAAUAAAUAUUUCUAUAGUAUACUUAAAGACACUUGAUGUGCAAGAAGUAUACUUUUCUAUUCGUUUGUAUAAACUUUGAAGACACUAGAUGUGCAAGAAGUUUACAUUUAUAGAAGUAUAUUUAUUUAUAUAAAUGUGUAAACUUUGUAAGACUAUCUUCCUAACAAAGGUGCAGACCAAUUUGACAAUACACACAUGACUAUUAUCAAUUACAUAUAUAGUAUGUGUAAUAUAGUGUAUUGUUACAAAGUUGUAUAGUAACUGGGAUUUUUAUAGGCUAUACAAAGAGGAUGAGGACAUAUUAGAGUGAUCCUAAUUACAUUGUAUGAUCCAAUGUAUCGCAUAGAAGCAGGUAGAUAUAUAAUCCUGGUAUAUUUAUAUGCCUGUAGAUUCUUGACACUGUAAGGAAUCCCGUGUUUAUGUGGGUUUAAUUGAUUGGUUUUAUAAGAAUACAUGUCAUAUUUGUCUUAGCAUUCGAUAUAUAAAACAAGAUGGUUACUGCAAGAGUAGAAUACAUUUGUUAUGUAAAUAAGAAUAAUAAACCACAACACCUGAUUUAAUGGUCACUUAAACUUUACAUGUAGGCUGUGUUAUUUGCUAGACCAUCAAAAUUGAUCUAAAAAUAAGUAUAUAACUAUAUGAUUUACAGUACAUUGUUAUCAUAGAAACUGACAAUUACUAGAAAGCAAAUGCAUGAAUGAAAAAAUAUGGACAGAAUCCCAAAAUGAUAUGGAAAGGUGUUAAACCUUGGUAUAAUUUCAUUUUCAGUACCGGGGGUAAUUGUUCAUAGUUAUCUAAAUCAAUCUUGCCUAUUUGUUCUGAGUUAGGAUAUUAGUUUGAUUAUUUCAAACCAAAAGGAUAGUGCUUUGUUUAUUUUCAGUGAAGAUGCACUGAAAUAUCUGGAAUAUAAAACACAAUUUAAUCAUUUAGUAAAUGAAAAUCCAUUACGGUCAAAGAAUGCAGUGUUCACAUUUUGCCCUGAAUGAUGUAUUUUUUGUUUUUUAAAGGGAGAUAAUUAGACUUUUUUUUAAAGAUUUUUUGGUCAGUUAUUUGAGUCCAUUGAAAUUUUUUAAAACCACAAUUACAUUACAUAUUUUAAUUGAGUUUUUGUUUUAUGGAAGGGAAAUAUUAAAGAAUUUUUAUUCUCAGAAGUUAUUUUAACACCUAACAUGACAUUAUUUUCACUGUUAUCAUUCAAAUCAGGGAUUUUAUAAAGAAUAAUAAUACUCAACUGUUUAUUGACUGUUUGUUGUAAUUUUGUUUAAUUAUUUAUGAGUGUUAAUGUGUUUUGUGUUUUAUAUAUGGUCAUAUAUGAGCCAACAAUAUUCAGUAUGUAUGCUAUGAUUACUGGUUUCUUCGGUUUAUAUCAGGAUUUUUUUUUAGAGAAAAAAAGAUAUGUCUUACAAUUUUCACUUGUACUUUUUUAAAAACAUUUUGAAACAGGAUUGAUAUUUGUAUCCACUUACAUUAUUACCAAAAACCUGAAGUUCACAGAAAUAUUCUAUUGUGAUAUUAACAUUGUUACAUAGUGAUAACAUUGUUACAUAUUGUUAACAUUGUUACAUAUUGAUAACAUUGUUACAUAUUGUUAACAUUGUUACAUAUUGAUAACAUUGUUACAUAUUGAUAACAUUGUUACAUAUUGUUAACAUUGUUACAUAUUGAUAACAUUGUAUUUAUAUUUUGACAAUCAUUUGUUACAUCAUACAUUGUACAUUGUCUAUCAGCAUUCACUACAUAACAUUUAAGAAAUCCUUUCUGUACACAUACAUACUUUUAAAAAAAUAUCAGUGAAAUGUUUAACUUUUAUCAACCAGUGAUGGAAUCGAACUACAGUAAAAUUUUAGAAACGGCUUAUCUUGGACAUGCAGAGGUUCCUACAUGGCUUGAUUUAGGCAAAAAUUAUUUCAUCUUUUUCUACAGAUUUUAAAAAUUAUUUUAUUGUCUCGAUUAGGUUCUGGUUAUAUACCUAGUGAAUGGUAUUAUUUUUUAAACUUAUUUUACAUAACAAAAAAUACUGUACUUUUGGUACAUGAUUAGUAGAGAGCUCAGUUGUGCAAACUUUUAGGCAGUUACUGUAAUACCAAAGAAUUGUUCACUUAAUAACACAACGGGUAAUUUAUUUUGAAUAGCUUUGAUAUUUUAUUUUCAUCUACUUGUUUAAGAUUUAUUUGAUAUUGUAAAGAUUGAAACAGUUGUUUUAUAGUGUUUAUAAGUAUUUGCAUGAUUUGUUAUGUAUAAGUUAUGUCUUGGCUAAAUGGAUUUGUUCAGCACUCCUGCAACUAAGAAAUACUCAUGAACUUUGUAUAUAUUUUUGCCUCUGAAAAUGUGGCAUAUAUAAGUUUAUCAUUUACAGCUGACUAAGAUUGUCUUCAUCUUCAUAAUCUAAUUGAAACUUUGUAUCUUGUAAUUAGAUUAAGGAAAUAACAGUAUUGUAUAUAAAGAUUUGUGGGCAUCAAUUGGUAAUUUGAUGGUUUCAAAUUCAGUUUAUUGGAGACAUGUUAGCUGAGCCAUUAAAGGGAUAUAUGCAACCAUCAAAUAAGAAAUUAAUGCCUACAAAUCUUGAGAUACAGUGUUUUAGUUCUAAUGCAACUUACAGAAAAAACACUGUUGAAUCAUACAUUUUGAAACUCAUUUACAAGAUAUUUGCCAUUGCACAGAUAAUUUCAGAUGGUCAGUCAAGGAAUUGAUCACUCCAAAUAAACUUUAAUUUGAAACAGCUGUCAUUUACAAAUUACCGUAUAAAGACAGCAAAUUGUUUUUUUUUGCUGUAAAACAAAAUGAAAAUAUUUUGCAAGACAUAUUGGUUGAUCAUUGUACAGAAUACCUCUUCUUGAAAUUUAAAUUAUUGCUCAACGUUCUUCACACUUUCAUUUAAGAGACACUACAUUGAAGUUGCUUUUCAAUAAAUCAAGGCCCAUUUUUUUCUGUUGGAUAUUGUUAUCAUUGUAACAUGAAAAAUCUUUUAAAAAAAAUAAUGUGUUGAGGAACCUCGACAAUAAUGAAUUGUCUGUUAAACCUGGGGCAAUGUAGACACAAAUACAAACUGAUCAAAUCAGAUAUAAAAGAUGUUUUCUACAGAUAACAAAAAUAACAUCAGAUAUAAUAGAGGUUUACUACAGAUAACAAAAAUAACAUCAGAUAUAAAGGGUGUUUACUACAGAUAACAAAAAUAACAUCAGCUAUAAAAGAUGUUUACUACAGAUAACAAAAAUAACAUCAGAUAUAAAGGAUGUUUACUACAGAUAACAAAAAUAACAUCAGCUAUAAAAGAUGUUUACUACAGAUAACAAAAAUAACAUCAGCUAUAAAAGAGGUUUACUACAGAUAACAAAAAUAACAUCAGAUAUAAAGGAUGUUUACUACAGAUAACAAAAAUAACAUCAGAUAUAAAGGAUGUUUACUACAGAUAACAAAAAUAACAUCAGAUAUAAAGGAUGUUUACUACAGAUAACAAAAAUAACAUCAGAUAUAAAGGAUGUUUACUACAGAUAACAAAAAUAACAUCAGAUAUAAAGGAUGUUUACUACAGAUAACAAAAAUAACAUCAGCUAUAAAGGAUGUUUACUACAGAUAACAAAAAUAACAUCAGCUAUAAAGGAUGUUUACUACAGAUAACAAAAAUAACAUCAGCUAUAAAAGAUGUUUACUACAGAUAACAAAAAUAACAUCAGAUAUAAAGGAUGUUUACUACAGAUAACAAAAAUAGCAUCAGAUAUAAAGGAUGUUUACUACAGAUAUCAAAAAUAACCUCAGAUAUAAAGGGUGUGUACUACAGAUGACAAAAAUAACAGUGUUUUCUUAAAUUUAACAUUUCUUGCAAUGAUAGUGUUUAAAAUUUAUUAAUAUAAUAGAUAAAAUGAAGAAAGCAUAAUGCACUUAUUUUGACAAAUCAUAUAAAUUUUUUUUAUUAAUCUUAUUCAUGGUUGAAAAAGUUUUUUUUUUGUUGUAAGAGAGAAUGUGUUGAGACAAGUCGGCAUUAAAAUGAUAAAACAGUUCAGCAACAAGGAUUACAAAAUAUUUUGUUGUUUUUUUUCUUCAGAUGAUAAAAAGUGAUGUACAGAUAACUUUGCAAAAUUUUUUAAAAUACAUUUCUAAAGGGUCUGAGGAUUUAAAAAAAUUGAUAUACAGGAUAUUUUUUAUCCUUAAUUUCACAAAAAUUCUAUGUAAAAAAUGAAAAGCAAUUAUAUAUAAGAAACAUGGUUUUAAUAGCUAUUAUAUUAUUGAUGGUGCAUUUUUUCAGUGUUUCAAUAAUUGAUAUAUCAUUUAUUUAUGUUUAGUUCACAGUCCUUCAUAAUGGAGAAUAGAUUAUGAUAAAUAAAUUUCUUAGAAAAUGU